AGUGGUUUUUGCUUUGAACCAUAAGUUUGCCGCCGCGGCAACGCUAAAGCCAAUUAAAUGGCAAACAACAACAAACUUACGCUUUAGCAGCUUAAUAACCUGUUAGCGUGCUCCUACCUAGCAUCGCCCAUGUGACUAGACUAGGGGCUAACACAUAGUGGGAUACGCCGCUCGGUCUCCGCCUGGGGUCGACGGAAACUUGAGGGACUUGAAGUCCGCGGAUAAACAGAUUGGAUUCAUAACAGAAAGUUAAUUAAACUAUUAAGCAACAUUAUAGUAUUAAACA
rnacentral:tmRNA from 1 species